UACGGGGGGGGGCAAGCGUUGUUCGGAAUUACUGGGCGUAAAGAGCUCGUAGGCGGUUUGUCACGUCUGCUGUGAAAACUGGAGGCUCAACCUCCAGCCUGCAGUGGGUACGGGCAGACUAGAGUGCGGUAGGGGAGAUUGGAAUUCCUGGUGUAGCGGUGGAAUGCGCAGAUAUCAGGAGGAACACCGAUGGCGAAGGCAGAUCUCUGGGCCGUAACUGACGCUGAGGAGCGAAAGCAUGGGGAGCGAACAGG
rnacentral:rRNA from 1 species